UCUUUCCAGUGCCGAGGUUGAGUAUGUGGUUGUUGCCUUCUAUUGUACUCAAUUGUUGUGGAUCAAAAAACAACUUGAGGAUUUUGGUGUGCUUACUGAUUGUGUUCCCUUGUUGUGUGAUAAUACGAGUGCACUUAACAUGGCAAAAAAAUCUAGUGCAACACAAAAGGACCAAGCACAUUGAUGUUAGGCACCACUUCCUGAGAGAUAAUGUUGAAAAUGGUUUGAUCUGUAUGAAGUUCUGCAAGAUGAAGGACCAGGUAGCAGACAUCUUUACCAAGGGACUGAGUAGGGAGCACUUUGAAAGAAAUUAUUUGGAGUUGGGCUUGAUCAAGCUCAACUAGUUUCCCUUUCACAAAGCUCCCUCAAUGAUUGUCUAUGUUAAGAAAAAAGGUACAGUACUAAAAAGUGUUUUUUGAUGGCAUCUAACUCAACUCUAUACUGUUACAGGUAUACACGCAUGGCAGUUUCAGGACAACACAGGUAUAAGUGACAUUGCACUUUAAGAGUUUUUGCCCUCGUUUCAAAUAUUAACAAGGAACCUGGCUCCUGUGACUCAGGAAACAACUUUAGUGGCAAGUGGAAGUUUUGGGAAAAAGAUUUUGGAGCAAACGGGAUUUGAGUUUGGGCAAGCGUAAGAAGCGCGAAAGGUGCAGACUCUUGUGUGAGAGAUCUGGCGGUCUAGGUUACCUGUUCAGCUACUCUGGAGUGCUCCCUUGUCCCGGAGCCCAUCUUUUGGUACAUACUUUUCUGUCAUGUAUAUGUAUGUGUAUAUUCAGGGGUACGGCGGAGCCCUGUCCCGUCAUAUGAUUCUGUUACGUCUGUUAGAGGCCUGUAGACAUAUAUGUGGAUCGUGGGUCACUGAUGUUCGAUUACGUUCGUGGUUUGCUAUGACAGCCUCAACGGCUUGUAUGUAUUUAUGCUUGGUCUGAUAUGUAUGAUAUACGCGACCGUU